rfam:Vibrio metschnikovii CIP 69.14 VIB.Contig139, whole genome shotgun sequence.
AUUAAGCAACAAAGCCGGUACAGAGGUAAGAUGUUCUAUCUUUCAGACCUUUUGUUUCACGUUAUUGGAUUAGGCUGAUUCAGCCGCCCCAGUCGAUUAUUGACUGGGGCGUUUUUUA